GUUGAAGAACGCAGCAAAAUGCGAUAAGUAAUGUGAAUUGCAGAAUUCAGUGAAUCAUCGAAUCUUUGAACGCACAUUGCGCCCGCCAGUAUUCUGGCGGGCAUGCCUGUUCGAGCGUCAUUUCAACCCUCAAGCACAGCUUGGUGUUGGGACUCGCGUUAAUUCGCGUUCCUCAAAUUGAUUGGCGGUCACGUCGAGCUUCCAUAGCGUAGUAGUAAAACCCUCGUUACUGGUAAUCGUCGCGGCCACGCCGUUAAACCCCAACUUCUGAAUGUUGACCUCGGAUCAGGUAGGAAUACCCGCUGAACUUAAGCAUAUCAAUAAGCGGAGGA
rnacentral:misc_RNA from 1 species